AUUGAACGCUGGCGGCAUGCCUUACACAUGCAAGUCGAACGGCAGCACGGGAGCAAUCCUGGUGGCGAGUGGCGAACGGGUGAGUAAUAUAUCGGAACGUGCCCAGUAGUGGGGGAUAACUGCUCGAAAGAGCAGCUAAUACCGCAUACGACCUAAGGGUGAAAGGGGGGGAUCGCAAGACCUCUCGCUAUUGGAGCGGCCGAUAUCAGAUUAGCUAGUUGGUGGGGUAAAGGCCUACCAAGGCAAUGAUCUGUAGUUGGUCUGAGAGGACGACCAGCCACACUGGGACUGGGACACGGCCCAGACUCCUACGGGAGGCAGCAGUGAGGAAUAUUGGUCAAUGGACGCAAGUCUGAACCAGCCAUGCCGCGUGCAGGAUGACGGUCCUAUGGAUUGUAAACUGCUUUUGUACGAGAAGAAACAACAUUACGUGUAAUGUCUUGACGGUAUCGUAAGAAUAAGGAUCGGCUAACUCCGUGCCAGCCGCCGCAGUAAUAC
rnacentral:rRNA from 1 species